AAAAACAUUGACAGGUCAGGGAAUCAGCCUCAACAUCCUUCAUCAGUGAUUUAAAAACAUUGACAGGUCAGGGAAUCAGCCUCAACAUCCUUCAUCAGUGAUUUAAAGACAUUGACAGGUCAGGGAAUCAGCCUCAACAUCCUUCAUCAGUGAUUUAAAAACAUUGACAGGUCAGGGAAUCAGUCUCAACAUCCUUCAUCAGUGAUUUA